rnacentral:rRNA from 1 species
GACGAACGCUGGCGGCGUGCUUAACACAUGCAAGUCGAACGAAGUGGCGGACGGGUGAGUAACGCGUAAUCAACCUGCCCUUCGGGGGGGGGCACCAGUUGGAAACGACUGCUAAUCCCGCAUACUGAAGAGGGGGUUUGCGUCGGAUUAGCUAGUUGGGGGGGUAACGGCCCACCAAGGCGAGCGUCAGCAGCCGGUCUGGGAGGAUGAACGGCCACAUUGGGACUGAGAAACGGCCCAGAAUCCUACGGGAGGCAGCAGGGGGGAAUCUUCCGAAAUGGAGGAAAGUCCGAAGGAGCAACGCCGCGGGAGUGAAGACGGGCUUCGGGGUGUAAAGGUCUGUUAAUCGGGACGCGGUACCGGAAUAGAAAGCAACGGCUAACUACGUGCCAGCAGCCGCGGUAAUAC